CAAAAAUCAUUUUUUCUGAAUAAAAAAAUUUGUAACAAAGUUAACACAUUUCUAAUUCUCGCUAGGCAACAAAGAAUUAUUAUAUUCUGCCCUGGAAAUUGAAAAAUCCUGGGAGAACGACAACAAGUUUCCUUAGGCGAAUAUCUACGAAUCAAGAUGCAUCAAAAGAUUCUUCUUUUUUAUCUUCGAAAAUCUAAGAAUAAAGAACCGCUAUGACACGAAACGCGAAAGGAUAAUAGGUUUCCCGGAUGUUUUUCAUUUUUAAAUGAUAGAAAUCCUCUUGGCCAAAUGAUUUAAAGUUCAAGUCAAUACAAAAUUAAAAUGCUACCGUCAAAUAAUGCGAUCAGUCAAUGCGUCUAUUAACUAAAAAAAAUCAGGCAAUACACGUAUUGAUUGUUU